ensembl:lncRNA
UUUUUUUUUUCCUCUAAGAGAUCUGAAUAGUCAGCAUGCUAGUAGCUUUCUGAUUUGAAUAUAAAUAGACAUCACUAUUUUAAUUUCACACACACACACAUACCCCUAUGGAAUUUAAUUUACCAAGAAGGGAGGGAAAGAAGAAAGAAAGGAAGAAAAAAAAAAAAAAAAAAAGUAAGGCAGGGAGGUAGAAAUGGAGGGAGGGAGGAAAAAAAGAGUCAGUUUUUGUGUGGGAGGUUAAGUUCAAGUGCUAAGCAAAGGUCAUAGAUAAUUCAAAUUCACUUUGAAGAUCCCUUAACUUUCCCAUAAGCCACUGCGAACAUGGUUUUGAGUAGACAGCUCUUGACAGCAACUUUCACGUACACAGAAGUCUAGCACCUACUGAGUUAUUAGCCCAUCGGAAGAACUCAUUGGAGGGUCACACAGUAAUGUCUGAACAUUCAAAUCAUUCCUCUCUUAAUAUAAGUAUCACAUCCCUUGAGUGAAAUGGAAGACUUAGCUGAAGAAGGUUAAAGGGCUAGGGCUUUCCAGCAGGUUUUACUUCAUUCUGCUGGAGUAAGAAGCUUCUUGAACUUGAAUGCCUAUUAAGAAAUUUAUUGUUGCUGUAGUUGAAAAACAUUGUGGCUUCACACCUUGAGUCCUUCAUGUCAUGGUCUGAAGAAUAACUUUAAAAGUCAUGCCUUUAAGGAUUUCAUCUGGUUGUUAUUUUUAAAAAAAUUAAACACAUAACCAAAUACAUGCCAAACAUUUUCCAAAGCUCUUCAUGCCUCUUUUUUGUUCACCCCCGUGGCUCUCCACUGUUGUGGAGUAGUUUACCCUGGUCUCGCCCAUGCAGUCCAGAUAAUGAAAUUCUAAAAGAAUGUGCAGAACUUAAGUAAGUUCGGGAUGAUGCAGUCGGGGCUCCUGGCUCUGUACCCCGGCUCUCCAGAGAGAGCAGCCCCAGAACUGGCCUGUGAGCAGGGGCAGGGGACUGAGCUGCAGGCAGCCUUGGGAUCAGGCUACUGCUUUAAAGAGCCCCAGUUGGAUCAUGAAUUAAGAAUGCCAGUGAAAAUGCCCCUUUCUUUCUUUUCAUUCCCUAAUCCACAACGUCCUGAGUGCCACAAUGAAUUCUCAUCUAUUGUACUUUUCAGAUUGAUUAAUUGAUUGUUUAGGGCCGCGGCCGCAUCUGCAGCAUAUGGAGGUUCCCAGGCUCGGGGUUGCACAGGAGCUCUAGCUCCCGGCCUACACCACAGCCACAGCAACACCAGAUCUGAGCCGCAUCUUUGACCGACACCAAAGCUCGUGGCAACGCUGGAUCCUUAACUCACUGAGCGAGGCCAGGGAUCGAACCUGCAUCCUUAUGGAUACUAGUUGGCUUUGGUGCCACUGAGACACAGCAGGACCUCCUUCAGCUUCUUUUCUAUUCCUCUGGGAGGACUAACACGGGAAGGUAAAAAUAUCACAACGUGUAGUACAUUCAUCUGAUCCUUCAAGGGAAGAAGGGCCCAGGGCAGCCCAGGGUAAGGGUCAGGUGUCACCCAAGGGAGAGUGAGGGACAUCAGGCAUGGAAACCCGGUACCUGUCCUCCAGUGCCUUAAAACUUAACGUGAAACUAAUGACACUGAUGAGUGUUCUUCACGCUUAUACAUAAAGAAGCCCGCUGGCCAUUUCAUUCUUAAACAGCCAGAGAAACGGGCAAGUAUUACAUGAAUGUGGGACACGGAAUGUGUGAAAGGACUCUUUUUGUUUUUUAUGAAUGAACCAGCAUGUGCCUAAGGAAAGAGUCGAUUAUUUUAGAAAACACAAAUGUCCAUCAUUCAUUACUCCCUGAGGAAUGGUUUGAGAUAUGACAUCAGGAGAGGCGAGCAUCUAGAGAUCACGUCAUCCACAACCUGAAAGAUUAAUUUAGAGGUGGAGCGAAGAGAAAAUUCUGCUCCGGAAAAGGUUGGGGGUGGGGCGAGGAGUAGAACUGGGGAGCUAUCUAACGAAUUCCAAAGGAAGCGGGGGCGCGACACCGAUGACUGUUAUAACUCCUCCUUGACUGGACUGGGCUCCAAGCAGACACCUGGGGGUCCUCUGAGAGGAAACGCGGUCCCUUUGAAAGUCUGCAUCUCUGUGCAUCUCAGCUGUACAUCUUGGAAAUAAAGGUGCCGCCGAGGACCACAGAACCUGUCAAUCAACAGUGCACUGGGGUAAGCCCUGCAGUCCGGCUUACACGGCCUCCGCUGGCAUUCUCCCUUACGAAUCAAGGGGGACACCACAGGGGACACGAGAGACCAGCUGCCUCUCCAGCGCUGCCACUGCCAACAGCAUUUAGAGGAAAGGCAAAAAGGUGUCACACGUGUAAACGCACUUUAAGGAACCCCGCGUAAGAGCCAAUCAGGACAAGCCUGGGGCACCCCAGACUCAUGCAUAUGAACAAGGAUGUGCCGCUGCUGAGCAAGGCUGCGCGGGAUGUGCGGGAACGCUCUGGCUUCAGUACACCCCAGACGCUGCUGCCGCCGCCGCCACCGCCGCCGCACACCUCCGUCUUCCAGCUCCCAUGAGCUCACCCUCGUCUGGCUGAAAAGAGCUCAGUGAAUCAAUGGCUGCUGUUGAACUGUUUAUGUAUUUUUCAAGUCCUGAUUAGGCCAUUAGUCACCAAGCAUACUGCACAGUGAACUAGAGUUGCUGCAAUUAUGCAACUUCCCGAGAACAUACCCGGAGCAUUUACAGUGAGACCACGGUGCCAGGGAAAUGUGAAAUGGAGAUUAUGUGUCAGCAAUUUCAAGGACCGUGUGCUUCAAUGCCAGAAGAAAUAUAUGCGUGGCAGAUAAGGAAAAUCGGGGAGGGAAAAAAAGAUCAAUGAUGAAAGCAACCAUGUUUAUCCCCUCUGAACACAGCCAAGAUCUGAAAAUGAGAACUCCCUGUGCAACCAACAACUCCCAGAAAACAGUGCUCCAUAUCAUCUGUCCCCUCUUCUCCGUACUGUCCCCAGGAACCUGGGGUGCAACACAGCCAUCAAAGGCACAGAACUACUGAGUCUUGACCUCAUUCUGUGCAGAGCUAAGUUCCCCUUGAGAGCCCCCCGACACCUGCUCACAUCUGUAUCAGACUCCCCCCCAAAGCAUUUCCCUUCUCCUUUCUGCUCCUAGUUCUCACUUUUCAUUUUCAAAACCAGCAAAAGUUCUGUAAUUCUAUAUUCGAGGAUUUCUCAUCCAAAGCAAUAAAGAACAACUCACAGAAGGAAAAGAAAGGAGCAUGAUAAAGCGGCCCUUAAUUUCUUUUAUCGAGAUGCUGAACGGCGGCCACGAGCCCUGCUUGAGAAAAGCCAGUGACAAGUGUGUGUGCAAAAGGGAUCGGCUACUCGGAACCUUCCGGCGGAGAAAUGGGAAAUGAGGGACCAUGAGAAGUGGGUCAGCUCCUCCACGUUUACUGGACAAGUCAUAACAUGAGCAAGCACCUUCCUCAGAGUGUUUUAUAGUAUUUUUCAUGGCACGUCUGAUACUUUGGGGUCUGUUAAUCCACACUUUCCUACUUCUAUUCAUAUACUUUAUAUGUAUUUAUUUGUUGCGUUAUAUAUUUUAGCUGAACUUGCAAUGACAGUUAUUUUUAAGAGGCUGCCAACACAGGUCAAUAGGGACCUCAGAAACCUGGCUUGCAGUGACUCUGGCAUAAGGCGCCUUGACAGCCAAAACCAACCAGAAAGUUGAUGAGAUCCAGGUUUCCAAAACACUAAAGUAAAGGCAACAUUUGCUUUCUUCCAUCUGGCCUUAAAACAAAACAAAACAAAAAAACAAGAACACAACAACAACAACAACAACACCCCAGGUUAUUUACCAAAAAGAAAUCCUUUUAGAACGUCACCCACCACUUCCUCAUGGAUUCAGGGUGCAGAUCUGGAGGUCCGUUUGUCAGUCUGGCUUCAAGCGAGCUGCAGCUUUCUUCACCUUGGACUGGGACAAGGUGUGGAAGAGAUAUGGUACCCAACGGGCCAACACACCAGUGGCAUCCAACACAGUUGCUUUCUAAAUUAACACCCUGAGUCUCUCCACGGACAGGCUUCCAAAACUAAUUGUGGCCGUGCGGAUAAAGAGGGCAGUUUCUCAGCUUCAGUGCCUUUCGGGUUAUUUCAACUCUCUACCUCUGUUCACUCUCCUGCAGGAACUUUUGACAGAGAGCAUUCCCUAAUAUUCCCAAGCAGAACCAUCCAGAAGAAAAAUUUCUUACUCGUCUUCAGAGAGCUGAAGACCGGAGUCCUUUGUCUUUCCUAUUUUGGAGAUUUUAUUGGAGGGGCUUGGGGACUACCUGAGGGCAUUGGGGACAGACAGACUCCUGGAUUUAAGCUCAGGACAAACAAACCUUUCACAUGAGCCCUUAAAAACAGACAGUGUUCUGUCUGAGUUUCUGAACCCCAUUCUAGUGCAAACAUGCUUGGCACCCAGUGCCAGAGUUUUCUUCUUGGCUGGCUGCUCUGCUGCCACUAUGGAGAUCACCACUUCUGGGUCCCUGCGACUCCCCUGUCUUCCCCCGCUCCCCCAUCACCCUGUGCCCAGGCUGCAGGGGCACAGGAUAUGCAUCCUGAUGCCAAGGAAUGGUCAGCGCCUCCAGCAGGUUCAUGCCACACUUCUUCUCCUGGCCCCUCCUUGGUCUGGCGCAGUGACCCUGUGGCCACUCUUUCAUCAUGUGUCUGUUAACUCAGAUGCAGACCCUGGGGUGGACAAAUCUAGCCCAUGAUGGAAGGCUUGAAGGUGCAGGGACAUCCAGAAGUAUCUUUGACUCCAGGAACUUCUUUUUCUCUUAUCUCCUAGUUUCUCUCCCCCCAUCCCAAGGUCGGGGGGGGGGGUUUAAAAAUCACACCCCUCAUGGAGCUCUCAUCUCUAUUCCUUUGGGAAGAUGAGAGACUCUUCUGAAAACAGUGGCCCCUGGAGAUGCUCAAAUCCAUCCCCCUUCCCACAUUAAAGUUUUCCUUAGUAGAGGCUCCGUUCCUUCUCAGAUCACAUCCAAUGACUAAGGGCUCCUUUUUACAGGGAAUGAAAUGGUCUCAGUGACCAUUUGAUAUAAUGGUUUCAUGAACUGAAAGUCUGGCUACUAUAACAGAGAGAUCCCUGGGCCCCAACCUGCCACCCCCACCCCCCCACCCCAAGUUCUUGGCUCAUUCAGUAGAGGCCGGUGGGAGGCCUAGAAUUCUCCAGGGGUUUCUGAAGCCACAUUUGAAAACCACUGAUAUAAUCCAACUUCCUCAUUUUCCUAAGGCCCAGAGAAGUUAGGUUAUUAGCCAAAGGCCACACAACGGUUAAUGACAGGCCUGAGACUUCAACAUAGUUCCUGGUAUGCUAGACCAAUGACUUUCUUUUCCAAUACUUUGUAAGUAUUUAGUAUUCUGUAAAACCUGAAUCAUUUAGUCUCUGCUAAUAAAGAUAGUAUCUUCUUAAUGAAUGUGUAAUUCAAUUUCUUUGAAUUUAUUAUACAACCUCCAUACUGUCAGAGUCUUCUAUGCAGUUAGGUGUCACCUUUCUUCCAUUCAGGGUGGUUUUCUAAGAGAAUUAAGGAUUCUUCAUUACUUUACCUUUAUAUUCUAGAGGUGACAGAGACUUCCUGGGAACAAAUCAAGUGAACUGAAUGAAAUCUUCUUUUGGAAAACCAAGCAAAUGAUCCAUGGAGUCAUAUAUUUGUGAAGUUCUACAAACAACACACACACACACACACACACACACACACACACACCCUUCAGCUUCUGCCUCCAGGAAUUACUUCUUAUGUGGGAAUAAAAUGUAACGCUUUU